ensembl:lncRNA
UGAAAGUGAAAAGUGAAAGUGAAUUCACUCAGUUGUGUCCGACUCUAAGCGACCCCAUGGACUGCAGCCUACCAGGCUCUUCUGUCCAUGGGAUUUUCCAGGCAAGAGUACUGGAGUAGGGUGCCAUUGCCUUCUCUGAAUGGUUGCAUAUAACCUACCUAAUACCAUUAAUACCUAACACAAUGUAAAUGAAAUGUAAAUAGCAGGCCAGGCAUGGGGCAAAUUCAAGUUUUGGUUUUGGGAACUUUCUGGAUUUUUUUUCCUGAAUAUUUUCUAUUGGUGGUUAGAGGAACCUGCAGGUCCAGAGCUCCUGGAGCUUGUCCAGACUCUGUAAUUGUACUGGGUGAUGUCCUAUGCCCUCAUCUACCCCUGAAAGCAGGGACCGCAUGUUAGGUACUCUUAGUCCCUUUCCUGGGGCAGGACCCCUACUGUAGUGGCCUGGUAAAUAGUUGUUGGUUUGCUAAAUGUCUUUUGGGAUUUGUGGGUUUGGUUUCUUCUCUAGCUGAUGCUGCCCAACCUCCUGGGUAUUGUGUCUGUGGGGCUCAGGGUCACCCUGGAAAGUGGAGUGCUGGUCAAGGCACCCUGACCAGCCUUGAGGUCAAGAAUAAAGGGCUUAGUGAAGGCAACUCCUAUAGGCUUGGCCUCAGAGGGGUUAUUGUGAACAUUUUACCAAAAGUCUGGAUGAAUGGGAGCUGGUGUCACACUUCCCAGAUUCAAAUCUUGGCUAAAAUGACUCCUUAGUGAAUUGGAAUAAACUGCCUCACUUUUUCAUCUGUUAAAUGGGGAUAAACGUAGCAGUUACUUCACAGGAUGCUUUUGUGGAUUAGGUGAGUUACACUGGACUUUAAAGCAUUGCUUCCUGGUGGCUCAGAGGUUAAAGUGUCUGCCUGCAAUGUGGGAGACCUGGGUUCGAUCCCUGGCUCGGAAGAUCCCUGGAGAAGGAAAUGGCAACCCACUCCAGUAUUCUUGCCUGGAGAAUCCCAUAGACGGAGGAGCCUGGUGGGCUACAGUCCACGGGGUUGCAAAGAGUCGGACAGGACUGAGUGACUUCGCUUCUUUAAAGCAUUAGGACAGGGCCUGGCCUGUGCUAUGUGUCCAAUCCGUGUUGGUUGGUAGCCACAGAGAGUGGGUGUUACCUGUGGUCCUGACAGCAUCAAUCCCAUCUGUUAAGUCCCUGUCACUUUGCACAGAGGGAUAAGCAUGUGAGUGAAGACUGUCGUGGCUUGGCUGCUCACGUCUUGGUUUCAUUUAUUACAGGAACCCAUCAGUUUUAUUUUUCUUAGGUAGCCAGUCUUUCCAAAUCCCAAGGGCCCUGGUGGAAUUGUCAUUUGAACUGAUGUGUCAGAUGCAUUUAGACGUCCGAUGGGUUUCUUCUUAUCUUGAAGCUGAUACAUUUUUAUAAAUCAUCAGCUCCAGUGUCCUUUCAAGCUACAGAGGAUAUGCUUUUUGUGUUAAGCUGCAGAAUGACUUUUCCCCAUUCACAGUGGAGCACUGACUUCCGAGCUCUGUAAAUGGGUUCAACAUACGUAUUAUUGGAGCAACAAGGUGAAGCUUUCACUGGAGCUUAUAUGAUUCUUUGGAACUCUGUGUUAUAAGACUUUACAUUGAUACUUCAGGUAUUCCUAACAGUGUCUAAGCAGUAAGCAUGACAUACAUACACAUAAUAUAGACCUGUGAGCCUUUUCUUCCUUUACCUUCAAAUAUUUAAAUUUUUAUUGGAAUAUAGUUGAUUUACAAUGUUAUGUUCAUUUUUCAUUUUAGAAAAUGAUAAGUGAACCCUGGUGUGCUGCAGUCCAUGGAUUGCAAAAAUCAGACACAACUGAGCGACUGAACAACAACAAAAAUAAGUGUCAUUUUAGAAAACUUACACAAAUAAUUUUUCAGUCACAUAUAAUUCUACCACCCAGAGCUAACCACUGUUAACAACCUCUUUUUCUGUGUGUGUGUGUGUGUAAAUAUUGCUUUUACAGAAUGUGAUCAGGCCAAUGGGUAACACAACAUCUGUACCUUUUAAAGCUGUAGGAGGUUGUUGAUGUAGGUAUGUUUUUGAACAUGCUGCAAUUUGGCUAUAGUUGCACACAAUGACCAUUAAUCUAACUUUAUAAAAAUAAAGGAGUUUCUGAAAUAAAAAGUAGGAUCAGGCUGAACAUACUGUUUAAUAUUUUGUUGUCAUUUAGUUGCUCAGUCGUGUUCGACUCUCUGCGACCCUGUGGACUGCAGCACACCAGGCUUCUUGGUCCUUCACCAUUUCCUGGAGUCCACUCAAUCUCAUGUCCAUUGGAUGCCACCCAACCAUCUCAUGCACUGUCACCCCUUCUCCUUUUGCCUUCAGUCUUUCCCAGAAUCAGGGUCUUUCCCAGUGAGUCAGCUCUUUGCAUCAGGUGCCCAAAGUACUGGAGUUUCAGCUUCAGCCCUUCCAAUGUAUAUUCGGGUUGAUUUCCUUCAAGAUUGACUGGUUUGAGCUCGUUGCUGUCCAAGAGAUUCUCAACAGUCUUCUAGCACUACAGUUCAAAAGCAUUAAUUCUUCAGCCAGCCUUCUUUAUGGUCCAACUUUCACAUCCAUACAUGACUAGUGGAAAACCAUAGCUUUAACUAUAUGGCAUUUCUUCAUGCUAUAAAUAUUUUUCUGCACUAUUAAAAGUCUUAAGAAUAACCUCCUUUUCAUUCCCUGUUCAUUAUAGGAAAGUUAAUUUAGUAAAUAACAAGAAGAAAAUUUUUAAGUUCCCAUAAUCUAACCAUUCAGAGGUAGCUAUCAGUAGUUGGGUGUAUGUCCCUUAGACUUUGUUUUGAGUUUGUGUAUUAAAAAAAAAUUUAGUAUUGUUUUUGUUCAUCUGCUUUUCUUUGUCUCUUGACUGUUGAUCUGUGUAAACCACUGAAAAUGGAUGUAUAGUAUUCUUUUCUAAAACUUAUUGAAGUGUAGUUGAUUUAGUGUUGUGUUAAUUUCUGCUGUAGAGCAAAGGGACUCAGUUAUACAUACAUAUAUGCAUUCUUUUGCAUAUUCUUUUCCAUUAUAGUUUAUCACAUGAUAUUGGAUAUAGUUCCUGCACUAUAAUAGGACUUUGUUGUCCAUUCAUUCUACAAAUAAUAGUUUGCAUCUGCUAAUUGCAAACUCCCAAUCCACCCUCUCCUACCUCCCGGCUUGACAACCACAAGUCUGUUCUCUGAGAGUCUGUUUGCUUCAUAGAUAUAUGCCUUUGUCCUUUAAAUGCCACAUAUAAAUGUUAUCAUGUGACACUUGUCUUUCUCUU